AUCCAUUGACGGAGAGAGGAACUUGGUUUGGUCAAACAUACAAACUGUUUCGGGCUUGCUUCCUUAUUGCUGCACUAAGAAAGUCCUUUCCAGGAUUCAAAACAUUAAGAAAUUAUGUAUUCAGGGGCACAUCUAUGACUAUGGCAUGCGUGAAGAAGUUAUGGACUUCAGUGAAAUCAUUGAUCUGCAACAGCUAGAAACAUUCAGUAUUAAAGUUGAUCGUUAUCACGUAAGUCACUGGAGUUCAAGAUUCCAUAAAUCUACAGUUUGUGUACCUAAUGCAACAUAUUUUCCGACAAAGCUCAAGAAGUUAAAACUGGUUGGAACUCAUCGGACUUGAACAUCAUAGGUCAAUGGCCUAAUCUCGAGGUGCUGAAGCUGAAAGCAAAUGUUUGUCGUGGCCUAGAAUCGCGGCCAAUUGAAGGGAGGUUUCGUCGGUUAAAACUUUUGCUAAUCGAAGGUACAAAUCUCAAGUACUGGAAAGCCACGGAUGAUCAUUUCCCCACACUUGAUUAUCUAGUGAUUAGACAUUUCCUUCAUUUGGAGGAGAUCCCUAUUGAGUUUGCGGAUAUUUACUCACUACAGCUAAUCGAGUUACAGAGCUGUAGUGCAAAACUCGUGGCUUCUGCCGGACGAAUUCAAGAAGAGCAAGAAUCUCUGGGAAGCAAAGGUGUAUACAUUCGUUCUUACAACGAUCCAGCUGAAUGUGAACAUAGUCGAAGUGAUUCUGAUUCAGAUUGAUGUUUACUAAGGAUUGAAGACUUCCGAUGUUACGAACGCUGUCAUGGGAUUUGCCGACAACACAAGAAAUAACAUAGUAAAUGAUGGACUUGGGCCUGAGGCGAGGUGAAGUUACAACCGAACAAUAGGGUGGAUUUCCUCUCGGAUCCAGGUUAAGCAAGCACGUUAAAAGGACGCAUUCGCCUACUGAAGGGGUUAUACAAUUACGUUGAAGCUUUGGCUUAGUCCGUUAAACUCUCUUCUCCUUUCUAUGUUCAGGUAUCUCAUCUCCUUCGCUGUAUUAUUCACUAUUAUCUUGUAUUCUCCGUUAGAGUUGUGUUGAGAAAUUUGAGUUGUUACUACAAA